GCUGUUCAACGACGGUUAUAUAUAUAUAAAAAAAACAUAUACAUUAAUUCGAAAUAUUUAAUUGAUCAAAAACUACGAGUAAAAUCAAAACAUGAGUAAAAAUUUUAUUUGGAACGAACCAAAAACUUACAGUUUUAAAGAUGGAAAGCUAAAUUUUUCUUUUUUUACUAGGAUCGACAUUCUAAUACUUAAUUGUUUAGUACUUAGUUAAAUUAUAGUUUAAAUAAGCGCCCCCACACAAAUGGUGAAAAAUGUUUUUGUUUUCCAUUACUAGACCCCUUAUGAGUAUUUUCCUAAAGUUUCAAAACAAAAUAAUUUUUUUCCCAUUAUUUUUCUGAAUUUGAAUAUACUAGGAGUCACUGAAAGUUUAACUGUAAUAUACGUUCCUGUAGGUUUUUCAUUUUAAUACUAUUCUCAUUUGAUUGAUUGAUUACAGGAUGCAAUGGGUUCUUGGUUUCAUGAUAUUAGUGCAACAGAAGCACAACAUCGCUUAUUUAAGUUGCAUCAAAAUUACAUCGAUAAAUUAUUAUUUAUCGAUGUAAUUUCAAAUUAGUUUUAGAAUAUAACGUUAAAUCUAAGCAUAUAUUGAUGUUUUAAGAAUUCUGGAAUAUACCAAACAAAUUGAGGUGUGAAUGCAAACAAAGUCUUAAAAUGGUGUUUUAUUAACUUAUUUUUCAUUUUAAUAUUAUUCUCAUUUGAUUGAUUGAUUGAUUAUAGGAUGCAAUUCUUCGGAGUUCUUGGUUUCAUGAUAUCAGUGCAACAGAAGCACAACAUCGCUUAUUAAAAUUGGAUCAAGAUGGGGCAUUUUUGAUUAGGCCUACUUCUCGUCCAACAGAUAUCGUACAGUAUACUGCUAUGAUCACAUAUGCUGGCCGAGUAUUUAAUAUUCACAUACGACGCAAAGCAAACUAUUAUUUUGCUCUUGGAAAAGAAAAAGAAGGCGAGAAGAGUUUUCAAAGACUGUCGGAUUUAAUCAAGUACUAUCAAGAUGUACCUUUUGAUAUACAUCCUUCUGGAAGCUCUAAUGCACAAGCCAUUUGUUUUCGAGUAACUCCCCCUCAUUCAAAUGUUUAAUUUUAAGUAUAUUUUUAAUAAAUUUGAAUAAUUAA